AUAGAAUUUGGGUCUAGAUCCGUC
rnacentral:siRNA from 1 species